UUGGAGAGAAGAAUUAGCUUUCCAGGUGUUCCAGUGAGAGGGAAAACUUUUCAGCAUUUCUAAAAUGCUCCAACACUGCAGCCUUCUCUGUUUCCCUGUCUUUACAACCACAAUCCCCAUGUGAUCCCUUUUAUAUCAUUCUAGGAUUCACCUUUAUAAGUUAGAAUCGACUGAACGAAUUAUUUUCUACCACCAUGUUCGAUCAUUGCUAAAUCUAUAGGAAGCUUGGUUCUAAAAUUCUUGUAGCAAACCAAGAAAGAGCGAUUUCUCGCAAAUAUACCAUGUUGCAAACCUUCCUUGGAGAUUGGAAAUUUCAGAAAGAAUAGAGCUGUGUCAGUAUUAUUCUUGUACAUUUUUAACUGUAAAAUCCAAAACCCACUGGUAUGUUCUAAUGGGUUUUACUAGGAAAACAGGGAGGCGGUCCGAACCCCACAAAUUGGGGGGGUGGGGGGGGAUCCUGUCAGGGAGGCGGUCAGCCUCCCUGUUACAGGAGCAAAACCCAUGCUCUAAUAGGAGCAGAAAAAGUAAUGAAAACUACGAAUUGAAUUGAUGUCAAAUUUUGCAGAGAAAUAUGAAACUGUGUAUUUACAGUAGAAUGAUAUUAUCACACAGAAAGUAAAUCUGAACAGUGAAAAUGGCAUUUAAUUUACUUUAAUCAUUGAUAAAAGAGAAAGUUAAGGUGACAACUAAUCCUAAUUAAAGAAGCUUACUUUGAACUAUAUUGCUGUACCAUCGGAGCUAGCAUUACAAACUGUUGCUUUUGUCAUGCACAUCAUAAUUAGCAAUGCAAUGACCACACCAUUGCUACCCAACAGGUCCACUGAUUAGCAGGCUGCAAUAAUAUAAGCAUUUAAUUAAAAACUAUGAAUCCCUCCUCUUGCUUACCUAAUUGGCAAACCAGUUGGACCACUAAAAAGAGAGAUUUUUCUAAGCUAAUUCACUUGUCUUUUAAUGAAUGAAUUUUACA
rnacentral:lncRNA from 1 species